UAAUUUUAUACCAAAUCAUGUCAGGAAAUACCAGGGUACCCACAAUUGCACACAGCAGCAAUAUUUCUGAGUGAGUGGCUGCGCAGAGCGAGUGGUAACUGACUAACGUUAGCCUUGACCAACUCUGUAACCAUGUGCUCAGCACAAUGGAAUGAAGUGGCCUCCCUGUGUCCUGGUAUGACCUUUAAGGCUAGACAGCCUUUUCUAACUGCCAAAGAGCAUUACUCUGUGUGUUAUACAGCAUAUGGCGUCUUUAACACCACUGCAUAUCAGGCGUAGAGAGCUAGUCUAUUUGCUUUAUUGUGUUUGGAUGAUGGGUAUACACUUGGGAUUAUCUUAAAAAAAAAAAAAAACUCCAACUGAAUAAUUAAUACGUAAUAAAAUGUGAAGAAUAGUGAAGAAAUAAUCCUGCCUGAAGCAUAGAAACAAAAGCUUUUUACAGGCAAAUAAAGCAAACGGCUCACAUCAAGAGACAAACUGAAUCACUUUGUGCAUCAUGGGGUCAUAUUCAACAACAGCUUUUUAAUGUUUUUUUUUUUUUUAAUUUUUUAUUGCUGUUGUUUAACACUGUGUUCAAAAGCGUUAACCUCAGCAUUGACAUUUCGUAAUAUGGCAGAAUGCACGGAAAUUCAGUUUGUGGUUGAUGCUAGAAUUUCAGUGUUAUUCUGUGACAUUUUAGUCUUUUAAGUCAUCUUUUCUUAGUAAUUUAACAACAUGUCUGAAGGAUAUGUUGUUUGUUUUUUUUUUUACCACAAUUUCCACUUUCACUAUGACUUCACAUCGUCCAUAUAAAAGACUUAGUAUGUGCUAGCUAGCCUAAUAUUAUCCUCAGUCUUAUACUUAGCUAACUUAUGCUUAGCAUCCAUGUUUCCCAGUUGCCUAGCAAUGGUGUUCUCUUGGCUGUAACCAUGUCAACAGUGAGCCUUCCCUUGUUGAAAGGACAAACUGAAUUUUGAAUACAUCACCCCUCCACGUGACUUAAAUCAUAUUCAGCAAACUCCGGAUGAAAUGAAAUGUACUGCGAGAAAACUCUAACGAAAUAAUCAGAAGAGUCACCGGCAACUAAUUAUCAUUUAUCUUUAAGUGAUUAUUGAUCAAGUCCAGGCCGCAUUUUUCACUACAUUGACUACUGAAUUGGUGGUUUUAUUGAGCUUGGAAUAAAAGCAGCUUUGAAGAGACAAGCACUGAUAUAGAGUCUCAAAGAGCAUCUGGAAUAUGGUUGGUGUUGCUCUGUAGCUACGUACCUUGAAGGUCCAUUCAUCUUCGGGGACGGCUUCAUGGUGCUCAGGGUGGCAGUGGAGCCAGAGCCUUUCCCAGUAACUCUGGGCUCAAGGCAGGAGAAUUCACCCCAGACGGGAUGUCAGUUCAUCACAGAACAACAUUGGGAGGGAACUGGUCAACCCGGCGGAAACCCACUCAAACACAGGGAGAAUAUACGAAACUCCACACAGACCCCAAGACCAUGGAGCGUUGAGGUGGCAACGUUACCCGCCUCCUAUUCAUGUACAGCUAUAGAUAGAAAGCACAAUUCACAAGAAGUAUAUACAGGAGGUGAGGAUUAACUGUGCAGUCUCCAUGACAACCAGUGAUGGACACAAGCACUCUUAAACUACAGUAAUCUGCAGGGAAAAAUAGCAGGACAGAGAGAGAGAGAGAGAGAGAAGCUCAUACAAGAUAAUACCAGCGUUCUGAUAAAAAUAGCCCCCAUCUUAUGUUGUAUGUACUUAAUGCUACACAUUCUAUAAUUGCUCAGGCUUUCAGAGAGCGCACUAUUAAAACUUGGCUAAUUUGUAAUGAAGGCAGUACUGAACAAUUGAUUUGUGUGGGCAGAAAGUAGGAGGAAACAUAAUGGUUUGAAAGCAUGCAGAAUCAGGCCACGUAUGAACGGUGAGAGUAAAAAGCAGUUGACGGAGAGCUGAGACGAACCGAGAACGAACAACCGCCGAGAGUGUUGUUUUGUCUAUAGAUGUCUAUAUACGCCAUGUUUAUUUAAGCCAAAGUCGCAGGAACUUUGUACUCACAUGUUAAUAAUUUAACACCAAGUAUGUUGUCCCUCCAUCACAGAGGUAGUCAGAGAUAGACUGUGUAAAGUGACCCGGAAUCUGUCCGUCAUGAUAAAUAUGUCCUUUUAAUGCUGAUCCCAUACUUCACUGACUCGCAAAACGUGACGUCAUCGUUUAGAGCGACUCGAUGAUAGAUCUUAUUACCUCCCGUGAGUAUAUAGCAGGAAGGAUGAGGGGGUGGAUGUGUGCAAUGAUACAAGCAUGGCGCUUCAUAGGAAGGCUAGCAUCAACAUGAAGAGAUUGAGCAGCUAGGCAGAGGACAUACGGUACAGAACAACCCCGGUCCUUUGCUGCUAAAAUGAGCAGACUCUCAGAUCAACUUUGAACUGUCCUUGGACUUACGAAACAGAGACAUAAAUGAGAUUCGGUGCGCAAAAUAUUAUUAACAUGGGAAGAAACUAGAACCCAAUCUUGCAUACGUUGUUAAAAAGACGUCGGAUUCGCAAUAAUAAUAAUCCCAUUAGUGGUUCCUAAUAUCGAUCUGUCGAGUCACCAGCAUAGAUCGUUUCUAGAUGUUACCUUAAUUCCAGAAGACGUUUUGGAAGCCAUUAUGUAAUUACAGUCGGAGAAAACACCAGGGCCAGGUUUUGUGUUAGGUUUUCCAUUGAAUUCAUUGAUCUGAUAAUAGAGCCACGACUUAAUAUGUUUUAAAGCUCCUGAGCUUUUCUAUUUAAUACUCUGCUUCAGGGUUUAUGUACUUGGGUAUUAUUAUGACUCCUAAAAUGAAUCAGAUAUUUAGUGCUAUAUUUGUUUCAGUGUUUUGGUGGAAAAUAAGUCUAGCUCUUGAAUAAUAAUGGUCACUUCCAGUCUCAAACUAGGUUGUAUAUCCAUUAUAAAUAAUUACCUGUAUUACUGAAUCCUAUUUUAAUAAUCCCAGAUUUCUUUUUCACGGUAUGAAAAGAGCUCGAGUUGUUGGCCAAAUAUAUUUAUAUUGUAAAUGCAAAUCCAACACUGAAAAUGACAGCUUUACAGUUACUAGGAACUGUUACUGGCCUGGAUCUAUUUAAUGUAAGAGUUGUAUGCCCUUUAAUGGGCAAUGUAUAUACCUGACAAGCUGUUAACCUCUGCUGUCUAACUAGAUGGAAAUAACUGCCAUAACAACGUAUCCACUGCAGGACCUGAUUUCCCCUCCCUAACAUAUACUGUAAAAGAAAGACCCCAUUAUGCUCAAUAAUGUAAAAACAUCUUGAACAGACUUUCGCUCUAGUGUUUCAGUAGUACAAACACACGACGCAUGUCACGCUUUAAUAUUGAAGUAUUUU